UACAGAGGGUGCGAGCGUUAAUCGGAAUUACUGGGCGUAAAGCGCGCGUAGGCGGCUUUGCAAGUCGGGUGUGAAAUCCCCAGGCUUAACCUGGGAACUGCAUUCGAGACUGCAUUGCUAGAGUAUGGGAGAGGGAAGUGGAAUUUCCGGUGUAGCGGUGAAAUGCGUAGAUAUGUGGAGGAAUACCGAUGGCGAAGGCAGCCCCCUGGGAUAACACUGACGCUCAUGCACGAAAGCGUGGGGAGCAAACAGG
rnacentral:rRNA from 1 species